GACGAACGCUGGAGGCGUGCUUAACACAUGCAAGUCGAACGAGUGGAGAACGGGGGAGUAAGACGUGGGUAACAGGCCCUAUUUUUGGGAUAAACCUUGGAAACGGGGGCUAAUACCGAAUACGGGUGGAGGGGGUCGAGGCCUAUCAGCUUGUUGGGGGGGUGAUGGCCUACCAAGGCGGUGACGGGUAGCCGGCCGGGGAGGGUGAACGGCCACAUUGGGACGUGGAUACGGCCCAGAAUCCUACGGGAGGCAGCACUGUGGGAUAUUGCACAAUGGGCGUAAGCCGGAUCCAGCGACGCUGAGUGGGGGAUGAAGGCUUUCGGGUUUUAAACCUCUUUCGCUAUCGAACGGGUAGGUGGAGAAGAAGCGCCGGCUAACUACGUGCCAGCAGCCGCGGUAAUAC
rnacentral:rRNA from 1 species